rnacentral:rRNA from 1 species
CUAAGUUUGAUGGCGACCCGCGCACGGGUGAGUAACACGUAUCCAACCUGCCGAUGACUCGGGGAUGGCCUUUCGAAAGAAAGAUUAAUACCCGAUGGCAUAGUUCUUCCGCAUGGUAGAACUAUUAAAGAAUUUCGGUCAUCGAUGGGGAUGCGUUCCAUUAGGUUGUUGGCGGGGUAACGGCCCACCAAGCCUUCGAUGGAUAGGGGUUCUGAGAGGAAGGUCCCCCACAUUGGGACUGAGACACGGUCCAAACUCCUACGGGAGGCAGCAUG